rnacentral:rRNA from 1 species
GACGGGCCCGCACAAGCGGUGGAUGAUGUGGAUUAAUUCGAUGCAACGCGAAAAACCUUACCUACCCUUGACAUGGCAGGAAUCCCGAAGAGAUUUGGGAGUGCUCGAAAGAGAACCUGCACACAGGUGCUGCAUGGCUGUCGUCAGCUCGUGUCGUGAGAUGUUGGGUUAAGUCCCGCAACGAGCGCAACCCUUGCCAUUAGUUGCUACGAAAGGGCACUCUAAUGGGACUGCCGGUGACAAACCGGAGGAAGGUGGGGAUGACGUCAAGUCCUCAUGGCCCUUAUAGGUGGGGCUACACACGUCAUACAAUGGCCGGUACAGAGGGUAGCCAACCCGCGAGGGGGAGCCAAUCCCACAAGGCCGGUCGUAGUCCGGAUCGCAGUCUGCAACUCGACUGCGUGAAGUCGGAAUCGCUAGUAAUCGCGGAUCAGCAUGUCGCGGUGAAUACGUUCCCGGGUCUU